UGGCUAUGAGGAAAACAGUUGCUAACUGAAUUGCCGUGAUUCUUUUAUACGCUAUUCUGAGCCAACA